rnacentral:rRNA from 1 species
GACGAACGCUGGCGGCGUGCCUAAUACAUGCAAGUCGAACGCACUCUCGUUUAGAUUGAAGGAGCUUGCUCCUGAUUGAUAAACAUUUGAGUGAGUGGCGGACGGGUGAGUAACACGUGGGUAACCUGCCCUAAAGUGGGGGAUAACAUUUGGAAACAGAUGCUAAUACCGCAUAAAACCUAACACCGCAUGGUGUAGGGUUGAAAGAUGGUUUCGGCUAUCACUUUAGGAUGGACCCGCGGUGCAUUAGUUAGUUGGUGAGGUAAAGGCUCACCAAGACCGUGAUGCAUAGCCGACCUGAGAGGGUAAUCGGCCACACUGGGACUGAGACACGGCCCAGACUCCUACGGGAGGCAGCAGUAGGGAAUCUUCCACAAUGGACGAAAGUACUGAUGGAGCAACGCCGCGUGGGUGAAGAAGGUUUUACGGAUCGUAAAACUACUGUUGUUGGUAGAAGAAUGUAUCUGAUAGUAACUAGAUC